rnacentral:rRNA from 1 species
UCGACUAUGUUGAAUAAAAUUCUAGGUAGAAUUAUGAUAAUGACAUUGUCUGCCUAUGUGUCUUGACCAAAUUACGUGCCAGCWGUCGCGGUAAUACGUAGAAGACUAGUGUUAUUCAUGUUUAAUCGGUUUAAAGGGUACCUAGACGGUAGAUCAAGCUUUCUAAUAAAGGAAAAGGACUAAUUUACUAGAGUUACUUAUGAGGGGGUAUUAAAGUACUGCUGGUGUAGAGAUGAAAUUCUGUCAUACCUCUUUUCAAAAGAAAAACCAUGGCACAGGUAUAGGCGAAGGCAUCCCCUUAUGUGAUAACUGACGUUGAGGGACGAAGGCUUUGUGUAGCGAACAGGAUUAGAUACCCCAGUAGUCGAAGCAGAAAAUGAUGAAUGUCAUAGAUUAGAUAUAUAAGUUUAUUCUAUAAAUGAAAGUGUAAGCAUUCCACCUCAUGAGUAAUUUGGCAACAUUGGAACUGAAAUCAUUAGACCGUUUCUGAAACCAGUAGUGAAGUAUGUUGUUUAAUUUGAUGUUCCGCAAAAAACCUUACCACAAUUUGAAUAUUUAUAUUGUUUAUUGUUUUAUUAUUAAUUUUCUUGAACGUAAAAGAAAAGAGAGAUGUAGGAUAAUAGUAAGAAAAUUAAGAAACAAGCAAUAAGAUAUAAUUACAAGCGUUGCACGGCUGUCUUCAGUUAAUGUCGCGAGACUUUGGUUAGUUCCAUUAAAUUAACGUAAACCCUUACUUUAUUUUUAUAUAGAGUAGUUCCCCGCUAGAUUGGAUAUGAUAACAGG